AGCUUACUAGCUAGUCCCCCUAAUCAAAAGCAACUAUCCACAUAAAUAACCCCCAAUACACGCAACUUGCAUUAAACAAAACAUUUUUCCCCUCCAGUAUAGGUGAUAGAAAAAGGACUCGGAACAACAGAGAAAGUACCGCAAGGGAAUGCUGAAAAAGAAAUGAAACAACUCAGUGAAGCCUGAAAAAGCAGAGAUUUUAACUCGUACCUUUUGCAUCAUGAUUUGGCCAGUAAUAAUCGAGCAAAGAGCACUUUAGUUCGACCCCCCGAAACUAAGUGAGCUACUCCAAGACAACCUAUAAUUAGGGUGAACCCGUCUCUGUUGCAAAAGAGUGGGAAGAGCUUCGAGUAGCGGUGACAGACCUAUCGAACUUAGUAAUAGCUGGUUGCCUGAGAACUGGAUAGGAGUUCAGCCUCCCGGAUUCUCCACUCAUUGUACUUUUAGUACCUGCACGACAUCUAAAGAAGCCGGAAGAGUUAAUCAAAGGGGGUACAGCCCCUUUGAUACAAGACACAACUUUCCCAGGAGGAUAAAGAUCAUAAUUUAAACAAGGCAAAGUGUUUUAGUGGGCUUGAAAGCAGCCACCUCAAUAGAAAGCGUUAAAGAUCAAACAUUCCCCUCGCCUUAUAUCUCGAUAAUUUAAUCUUAAUCCCCUAACCCUACCAGGCCGUUCCAUGCAGUCAUGGAAGAGAUUAUGCUAAUAUGAGUAAUAAGAGAACAUCCAAUUCUCUCCCGUCACAAGUGUAAAUCGGAACGGACCUACCACCGAAUCUUAACGGCCCCAAACAAAGAGGGAAAUGAAUUACUAGUCUGGAUACUCUGGAAAAACAUUCAAUCAAACGCCGUUGACCCUACACUGGAGUGUUCCCUGGGAAAGACUAAAAGAAAAAGAAGGAACUCGGCAAACCCGAGCCUCGCCUGUUUACCAAAAACACCGCCUCUUGCAAAAUUAACGAAUAAGAGGUCCCGCCUGCCCUGUGACUAUGCGUUUAACGGCCGCGGUAUCCUAACCGUGCGAAGGUAGCGUAAUCAUUUGUCUUUUAAAUGAAGACCUGUAUGAAUGGCAUAACGAGGGCUCAACUGUCUCCUUUUUCCAGUCAAUGAAAUUGAUCUUCCCGUGCAGAAGCGGGAAUACUAACAUAAGACGAGAAGACCCUAUGGAGCUUUAGAUAAUAAGACAGAUCAUGUCAAGCACCCUUACAAAAAAGGCUAAACUAAUUGAGUACUGUCCGAAUAUCUUUGGUUGGGGCGACCGCGGCGAAACAAAAAACCCCCGCGUGGAAACGAGGGAACCACCCUCCAAGCCAAGAGCUCCCGCUCUAAUAAACAGAACAUCUGACCUAUAAAGAUCCGGCAACGCCGAUCGACGGACCGAGUUACCCUAGGGAUAACAGCGCAAUCCCCUUCUAGAGCCCAUAUCGACAAGGGGGUUUACGACCUCGAUGUUGGAUCAGGACAUCCUAAUGGUGCAGCAGCUAUUAAGGGUUCGUUUGUUCAACGAUUAAAGUCCUACGUGAUCUGAGUUCAGACCGGAGUAAUCCAGGUCAGUUUCUAUCUAUGAUAUGAUCUUUCCUAGUACGAAAGGACCGAAGAGAAGAGGCCCAUGCUCCAAGUACGCCUCCCCCUAACCUGCUGAAAAUAACUAAAAAAGACAAUAGGGCAUACUCCAGCUAUGGCUAAGAAAAUGCCGU
rnacentral:rRNA from 1 species